ACAGCCGGGCGUUUCGUCGCUCGCCGAUGAACAAGCGGCGGGAGGAAAGUCCGGGCAACAUAGAGCACCAUACUUUCUAACGGAAAGCUGUCGGCACAACGGCAGAGCAGUGUGACAGAAAACAACCGCCGCGCUAUAGGUCUUACGGCCGCGUGGUAAGGGUGAAAAGGCGGGGUAAGAGCCCACCGGGUUUCAUGGCGACAUGAGACGCCGCACAUCUUAUGGGUUGCAAGGCCAUGUAUACCGGCAUUCAAGGGUUGCUCGCCCAUUGCCGGGGGGUAGGCCGCUACAGUCGCUGCGGCAACGCAGGACGAAGAUAAAUGACGAAACGCUGACCCAAGUCCGUCAAGGAUACUGCCGUCAGUGACAUAACCCGGCUUAUAGCCCGGCUGUCUUU
rnacentral:RNase_P_RNA from 1 species